CUUUUUGUGAAAAACACUUCAGCUACAACAAGAAUUAACUCAUUCAGAUGCUGCUGCAGACUAUUAGACAGCCUCUCUUCUGAACUAGAUUGAUUCUGUAUAAGAACUGACAGUGUCUGUGUGUCAGCAGAAGUUUAUUUCCUAACUGAAAUUAUUGUAUACUUAUUUAUCUUUAGUCUUCCUGGCCAUAAGUUGUACAAGGAACUCUAAUUCCUUGCUCUUCCACCUAGUAUUUUUCAGAGUCCUUGCUUCGUGAGCUGGAAUCCUCCAUCUGCAAAUCAUCUGCACGGUGCUCACAAAAGUUGAAAACUGUUGGAGGGACUGGAAUGAAAGCAAGGCAGACUUGAGCAUCCAUACCUCUUGUGCAAGAUCCAACUGCAUUCAAACAGCAAAGCAUGCCAUGGGUGUGGUUCCUUGAACAGCUGGGGUAGUGAGCCAGAAGGGGACUGCUUUGAAGCCAGAAAUUAU